UUCGUAUGAAAUUUUUUUGGGAAAUUUGAGUGAGGUUGACAACGAUGACCUUAACCUAUCAAAAUUGACGGACGAAU